rnacentral:rRNA from 1 species
AGCGAAGCUCUUGAUCGAAGCCCGAGUAAACGGCGGCCGUAACUAUAACGGUCCUAAGGUAGCGAAAUUCCUUGUCGGUUAAAUACCGACCUGCAUGAAUGGCGUAACGAGAUGGGAGCUGUCUCAAAGAGGGAUCCAGUGAAAUUGUAGUGGAGGUGAAAAUUCCUCCUACCCGCGGCAAGACGGAGAGACCCCGUGGACCUUUACUACAGCUUGACACUGCUACUUGGAUAAGAAUGUGCAGGAUAGGUGGGAGGCUUUGAGUAUAUGACGCCAGUUGUAUAUGAGCCAUUGUUGAGAUACCACUCUUUCUUAUUUGGGUAGCUAACCAGCUUGAGUUAUCCUCAAGUGGGACAAUGUCUGGUGGGUAGUUUGACUGGGGCGGUCGCCUCCCAAAUAAUAACGGAGGCUUACAAAGGUUGGCUCAGAACGGUUGGAAAUCGUUCGUAGAGUAUAAAGGUAUAAGCCAGCUUAACUGCAAGACAUACAAGUCAAGCAGAGACGAAAGUCGGUCU